GCUAUGAAUUGGAAUUUUCGAAUCGACCUGUAGAAUGUAGCAAAUGCUACUUUUUAGUGAGGUAUAUAGUGUUUUGAGUUUUGACAUUGAUAUUGUGUUUCAUUGAGAAAAAAAUUGUGUGCAUUGCCAUUGUGUUAGGUACUCUCUGUUUGGUAUUUAGGUUGUUUUCAUGUUCGAAUGUGGUUGUUUAUUGAUGUUUUAUUUCGAGUUAACACUGCUAUACAUUUGUUCUUGCUCUCUCCUAUAUACCUUAGCUAACUGAAGAACUGUCAAAAGUGGAUGAAAAGCUGAAGUUGACCGAAUCUCUUCUCGACAGCAAGAAUCUUGGAAUCAAGAAAAUCAACGAUGAGAAGAAAGCAUCAAUGGCAGCUCAAUUUGCAGCAGAAGCUACUUUACGAAGAGCCCACGCAGCUCAAAAAGACGAUGACAUGCCCCCAAUCGAAGCCAUCCUUGCACCUUUGGAAGCCGAACUCAAGCUAGCCAGACAAGAGGGAACGAUGAGGAUGCGAGUGACCCAACUGCAUUUAAAGAAUUCACAAUGGACCAACUUAAAAAUGCAAAGGGAAUUGGGUGAACCAAAUGUGUUACAACUAAGUAAAAUGUCUUUGUAGUUUUUAAUUAAAGAUUCUAUACUAAGUGAAGUGAGGUUAUAUAUGUUUGGAUUAUAAUAGUUUUCUCUAGCCUCUCACAUGUACUAAGGGGUGUUAUAUAUGUUUGGAUUAUAACA